GACGAGCCACACAAACGUUAUUCGGAAUUACUGGGCUUAAAGGGUGCGUAGGCGGCGCGGAAAGUUGGGUGUGAAAUCCCUCGGCUCAACCGAGGAAUGGCGCUCAAAACUACCGUGCUCGAGGGAGAUAGAGGAGUGCGGAACUUACGGUGGAGCGGUGAAAUGCGUUGAGAUCGUAGGGAACACCGGUGGCGAAAGCGGCGCUCUGGAUCUCUGCUGACGCUGAUGCACGAAAGCUAGGGUAGCGAACGGG
rnacentral:rRNA from 1 species